UUAGCUCUAGCUUCCAGACUCUUCCCAGCACGAAGAACCAGUUCUGUCACGAACCCUUAGAAAGACCAGCUCCAGCCAGACUGUACUUCUUGGAGAUCUAAGUCAUAGCUCUAUGAAAUUCCUUUUGCAAGCUCCUGAUAUCCCAAUAUCUGCUGGCUGGUACCCACAGGACCACUUUAUGCUUGGAGAUAAAGACACCUAGACUUGUCAUCUGAACCCAGUACAGCCCAACACCAGUGUUCUGUGGUCCUUCUACUCAUGAGUCACCUAACUCAAGUCCUGUCACAUAUUCAGUGCACAGGUAUGAUUGUAAGGAGCUUGGAAAGUAGCCGUUUGGAGCCUGGAGCUGCAACUGAUGCUGCCUACCACAUUACUGACCCAAAUGUGGAUCAACCAAGAAUUAUUGGGUGAAGCCUAUCCAUUGGCUGUGCCUCCAGCUAUGUGGUCACAGCAAGAGAACUGGCCCCUUGAAAGCAAUCAUGCCUGCCCAUCGAGGAAUAGCUGACUCAAUGGCCCCAUUCAUGGGCCUUCCCACACCUUCCAGCUCUCCUUCUCUCCAGAGAUAUAUGGCAGGAUAUCCAUAUAUGCAGCUGUCGGUGGAAAACCAUGGAAUGGGUGCGGUGGGUGGAAAAUACCUUUCUUUUUGCAAAUUUAUGGAAAGCAAAUAUUGCAGUUUUCCUCCUUCAUGAUGCUAAAUAUAGCAGGUAACAGAUCCUCCUUUAAAAACUUAAAACCGACAUUGAUUUUUUUCAUAAAGAAGGAAUAGCAAAAACACAGGAGACAGGCAAAUCUGCUACAAUCAUUGAGUAUUGAUACAAAAGCCAAUUCUUUCUAGUUAGACCCAAAAACCACCCAUGCUAAGGAUGGCUGGCAUGCAGUCUUAACUCAGAACUUAGUAUUAACAAUGGCAUGUACAUGUUCAGUACAUUCCUUCCACGGCUGUAAGUCCUACCCCAAAGUAUAUUCCUUUCCCCUUCUUCCUGCAUGGCCAACCCAUUUAUUUGUGUUCUCAUGGCCUCUAAUCUCAGUCCCUUCAGACAUGAUAGUGCUACUUGAUAUUAAAGUAUAGAUAAAGAUACCAUUUUAUAAAGAUUAGUAACUGUAGUUCAUUCCACAGUUUCUUAAGCUCGGUGUUAUUGACAUUUUAGACCAAGUAAUUAUUUGUUGUGGGGGAUGUCCUGUGCACUGCAGGAAGUUUAGCAACAUCCCUGGCUUCUACCCACUGGAUGCCAACAGCGUCCCUUUCCUCUUGCACUCAGCAACUAGACAACCACAAAUGUCUCUAGACAUUGCCAAAUAUCCCCUGGAGGACAAGGUUGCCCUGGGUUGAAAACCACUGGUCUAUUCUCAGGCUAAAAAUGGUAAUAACAUCUUCUAGCACCCCCAGUGAGGUAAAGACCACCAUUCUGCUCCAAACUGCUGAAAUUUCAACUGCCACUGCCUCCAGUUUCUACCUCCUAACUAAAUCUGGUAGUUUUAUAUUCUCUUCAAUCUCUCUUCCACAUCAGAGACUUUGUGGGUUUUGUUUAUUUGUUUUUAGUAUCUCCACCUAGACUCCUUCUGACUUAGGAGGCAAUAAGCACAGUGGUUAAGGCACACCAGACUUUGAAAUUAAAAACAACUCUAAGUUUGACUCUUACCUCUGCAAUUUAAUUUCUAUAAGACCUGUAGCAAGUGAGUUAAUAUCUACAAGUCUCAGUGUCCUCAACAACCUGAGGAAAAGAAUAUUUACCUUUUAAUGUUGUAUCUAGAAUUAUAUAAUGUGGGUAAAGCAGUUUCCAGAGUCUGAAAUAUAGUAACUAACAAAUAAAAGUUGAUAUUAGUUACCUGCAAUCAUUAUUAUUAACUCUUGUUCAGAUGUCUCCCU